GAUGAACGCUAGCGGCAGGCUUAAUACAUGCAAGUCGAGGGGCAGCAGGGGUGUAGCAAUACACUCGCUGGCGACCGGCAAACGGGUGCGGAACACGUACGCAACUUACCCAUAACUGGGGGAUAGCCCGGGGAAACCCGGAUUAAUACCUCGUAACAUCAUCGGGUGGCAUCACUUGAUGAUUAUAGCUCCGGCGGUUAUGGAUGGGCGUGCGGCUGAUUAGGUAGUUGGCGGGGUAACGGCCCACCAAGCCUACGAUCAGUAACUGGUGUGAGAGCGCGACCAGUCACACGGGCACUGAGACACGGGCCCGACUCCUACGGGAGGCAGCAGUAAGGAAUAUUGGUCAAUGGACGCAAGUUUGAACCAGCCAUGCCGCGUGAAGGAUGAAGGUCCUCUGGAUUGUAAACUUCUUUUAUAUGGGACGAAACCCGGGUAUUCCUACCCGAUUGACGGUACCAUAGGAAUAAGCACCGGCUAACUCCGUGCCAGCCGCCGCGGUAAAAC
rnacentral:rRNA from 1 species